AGUGAACGCUGGCGGUAUGCCUAACACAUGCAAGUCGAACGGCAGCACAGUAAGAGCUUGCUCUUACGGGUGGCGAGUGGCGGACGGGUGAGGAAUACAUCGGAAUCUACUUUUUCGUGGGGGAUAACGUAGGGAAACUUACGCUAAUACCGCAUACGACCUACGGGUGAAAUCAGGGGAUCUUCGGACCUUUCCCGAUUAAAUGAGCCGAUGUCGGAUUAGCUAGUUGGCUGGGUAAAGGCCCACCAAGGCGACGAUCCGUAGCUGGUCUGAGAGGAUGAUCAGCCACACUGGAACUGAGACACGGUCCAGACUCCUACGGGAGGCAGCAGUGGGGAAUAUUGGACAAUGGGCGAAAGCCUGAUCCAGCCAUACCGCGUGGGUGCAGAAGGCCUUCGGGUUGUAAAGCCCUUUUGUUGGGAAAGAAAAGCAGCAGGUUAAUACCCCGCUGUUCUGACGGUACCCAAAGAAUAAGCACCGGCUAACUUCGUG
rnacentral:rRNA from 1 species